GAGAAGGAGAAAGAUGAGGCAGAGGUCCAAGUAAAUCCAUGCCAUUCAAACCUGUUUGCAGGACUUGAUUAAACUCUGGAUUCCAAAGCUUCUGGAACUCUGACCCUUUGAUUUCAUCCCUUAAAAAAUGUACACAAACCAAAAAUGUUAAUUUUUUGGUCUUUUCAUUUGAUAUGCCACAAUGACAAUGUAUCCUCCAAACUCUGAA